rnacentral:rRNA from 1 species
AAUAUUGGUCAAUGGACGCAAGUCUGAACCAGCCAAAUCGCGUGAAGGAAGACUGCCCUAUGGGUUGUAAACUUCUUUUAUAUGGGAAUAAAGUGCGCUACGUGUAGCGUUUUGUAUGUACCAUAUGAAUAAGGACCGGCUAACUCCGUGCCAGCAGCCGCGGUAAUACGGAGGGUCCGAGCGUUAUCCGGAUUUAUUGGGUUUAAAGGGUGCGUAGGCGGGAUGUCAAGUCAGCGGUGAAAUCUUCUAGCUCAACUAGAAAACUGCCGUUGAAACUGGUAUUCUUGAGUGUAAACGAGGUAAGCGGAAUGUGUCAUGUAGCGGUGAAAUGCUUAGAGAUGACACAGAACACCAAUUGCGAAGGCAGCUUACUAGGAUACAACUGACGCUGAGGCACGAAAGCGUGGGUAUCGAACAGGAUUAGAUACCCUGGUAGUCCACGCAGUA